rnacentral:rRNA from 1 species
UGCCAGCAGCCGCGGUAACACGCGGGCCGCAAGCGUUAUUCGGAAUUAUUGGGCGUAAAGGGCGCGUAGGCGGUCUUAUCGGUCAGAUGUGAAAGCCCAGGGCUCAACCCUGGACGUGCAUUUGAAACAGUAAGACUUGAGUACGGGAGAGGAAAGCGGAAUUCCUGGUGUAGAGGUGAAAUUCGUAGAUAUCAGGAGGAACACCGGUGGCGAAGGCGGCUUUUUGGACCGAUACUGACGCUGAGACGCGAAAGCGUGGGGAGCAAACAGGAUUAGAUA